GAAUGAUGUUCGAACAGUGGUUGUUUAUGGCGGUUUUGAAAGUUAUUUUUCUGUUAAAAUUUACCAGUUUGGAAUCUAAUUUAUCCUUUAAUAUUUGAAGCAAAACUGAAGUCAAAAACCAAGAUAGGGAAAGCCGUUUAGAUUCUGUGUUGAUGGCUUGAUAAAGGCAAAGGCGAUAAGAAGAGAAAAUUGUUCAAGAAAUAUGGUUGCUUUGGAAUUGUAAUAAUUUUGUUAACGAUAUACCGACAAUCGUGUUUAUUAACAAACAGGGAUUCAAAUGACUCUUUAAAGAAUCCUGGAUUACACUCAACAACACUGGACUACUUUCUAAUAAGAGAUGGCUGAGGGAUGCCGUAGAGAGGGUUACUUGUUGAAUUGAAUAUAGUUGGCACACCUGUUGGUUUUAAUCUGCUGGUUCCAUUUCCAGAUGGGGGAAUGAUGUAAUCUGAUUGUGAAAAGUGGUUGCUGCAGAUGCAUGUAUAAUGUGUUGCUUUCCACUUUGGCAAAGUUGUUCACUUCGCAUAUUACCUUUUCCCAUUUUUCAAGCAAUUUUGGAUUGCUCAAAGGGAAUCAAAAUAUAUGUAUAUUUAAUUAAUUGGUAAUAUGUGAAUGGCAUACCUAUAAAUGCAUUGUUUAUCAUGUUUACUUUAUGCUACAGGUUAGCAUAAUAAUUAAUUUAAUUUACAAAAGUUGAAAACUAAUG